rnacentral:rRNA from 1 species
UACGAAGGGGGCUAGCGUUGCUCGGAAUCACUGGGCGUAAAGCGCACGUAGGCGGAUUGCUAAGUCAGGGGUGAAAUCCUGGAGCUCAACUCCAGAACUGCCUUUGAUACUGGCGACCUUGAGUCCGGGAGAGGUGAGUGGAACUGCGAGUGUAGAGGUGAAAUUCGUAGAUAUUGGGAAGAACACCGAUGGCGAAGGCAGCCAUCUGGACCGACACUGACGCUGAGGCGCGAAAGCGUGGGGAGCAAACAGG